UUGACGGGGGCCCGCACAAGCGGCGGAGCAUGCGGAUUAAUUCGAUGCAACGCGAAGAACCUUACCAAGGCUUGACAUACACCGGUAACGCCCAGAGAUGGGUGCCCCUUUGUGGUCGGUGGACAGGUGGUGCAUGGUUGUCGUCAGCUCGUGUCGUGAGAUGUUGGGUUAAGUCCCGCAACGAGCGCAACCCUCGUCCUAUGUUGCCAGCGGGUCAUGCCGGGGACUCAUGGGAGACUGCCGGGGUCAACUCGGAGGAAGGUGGGGAUGACGUCAAAUCAUCAUGCCCCUUAUGUCUUGGGCUUCACGCAUGCUACAAUGGCCGGUACAAAGGGCUGCGAUACCGCGAGGUGGAGCGAAUCCCAGAAAGCCGGUCUCAGUUCGGAUUGGGGUCUGCAACUCGACCCCAUGAAGUCGGAGUCGCUAGUAAUCGCAGAUCAGCAACGCUGCGGUGAAUACGUUCCCGGGCCUU
rnacentral:rRNA from 1 species